rnacentral:rRNA from 1 species
AGAGUUUGAUCAUGGCUCAGGAUGAACGCUAGCGGGAGGCCUAACACAUGCAGGCCGAGCGGUAUAGAAUCUUCGGAUUUUAGAGAGCGGCGUACGGGUGCGGAACACGUGUGCAACCUACCUUUAUCUUGGGGAUAGCCUUUCGAAAGGAAGAUUAAUACCCGAUAAUAUAUAAUAUGGCAUCAUAACAUAUUGAAAGCUCCGGCGGAUAGAGAUGGGCACGCGCAAGAUUAGUUAGUUGGUGAGGUAACGGCUCACCAAGACGAUGAUCUUUAGGGGGCCUGAGAGGGUGAUCCCCACACUGGUACUGAGACACGGACCAGACUCCUACGGGAGGCAGCAGUGAGGAAUAUUGGACAAUGGGUGCAAGCCUGAUCCAGCCAUCCCGCGUGAAGGACGACUGCCUAUGGGUUGUAAACUUCUUUUGUAUAGGGAUAAACCUCUCCUCGUGAGGAGAGCUGAAGGUACUAUACGAAUAAGCACCGGCUAACUCCGUG